rnacentral:lncRNA from 1 species
GCACACUUCAACAACCAAAUUGAACUAAACACACAGUAGCAUUAAGCAAAAGACUGAAGGCCAUGAAAAUUGCAGAAAUCUUAAAACUAAGGAAAUUAUGGUCUGAAAUAUAAGUGAACACGUGCUGGAAAUUUCUUGUUUUUCAUUUCAUUGCUUCAAAUAUACAUUCUCAAGCAGUAGAGCCUUAAGUUUGUACUUGAGAUUAAAUAAACAAAGAAGCAAAGGGGGAUCAGCCGCAGCUAACAGCAGAGAUCGAUGAUAACAACUGCUUAGCCCAGAUUUGACACUUGAAAACCCAAAAAUCAAUUUCAAACCCAAUAUAACAGCACAAUCUUCACGCAACUUCACUCAAACAGGACAGAAAACUCCAUACACUCCAGUACCAAACCAAUCUUAAACACUUAAUGACCGAGGAUUGAUUCAUUAGCUCGGGAAUUUGGAAAUCAAGAGGAAAAUCGAUGUAACAAUGGAAAUUUAUACCUGCUUUGAUUUUUCUGAAAUCUUCUCAACCUAAUAUUUCUUAAACUCUUUCUUGUCUUUUCUCAAUUGUAUCUCUCUUAAACUUUUGACUCUCUUAAGCAAUAAAUAUUUUCCAGAAUGUGUCAAUUUCUAUCCUCAGUCUUAAUAUGUUUUCUCCCUCCCCUCAAGCUGAUCUUUUCUCCGUCCAGGUCUGCCAGUAUUUAUAGCCAAACUAGAGCCUCUUUCAGC